rnacentral:lncRNA from 1 species
AGCAGACGAGCUUGACAGUGGCUCAGAUCAACUAAACUCAGGAAGUGAAUGAAAGACACAAUCAGAACCCAGAUUGAAUGGACUCGACCAUCAGGACCCGUCUCUACUUUGAACAUGUUUUAAUCCCACAGACCUUCAGGGAGAAGAAGGUCGUGUGACACAUGAGAGAAGGAACAUUUCUCAUUUGAUAUUAAUCUUCUCGUUAGUUUGGACUGAGGUCAGCAGCAGGUCAUGAGUCUGUGUUGACAUGAACAGGUGUAGGAAUGUUGUGUUGACAUGAUGAAGAUCCACAAGACUCAUUGAUCAGGAUUAUCAAUGAUGUGAUUCUUUGUUUUAUUCUUCAUCCAGGUUGAAGAGCUGCAGGUUGUCAGAGAUCAGCUGUUCUUCUCUGGCCUCAGCUCUGAGUCCACAACCUCCCACCUGAGACGACUGGAGCUGAGAGACAACACGCUGCAGGAUUCAGGAGUGAAGGAGCUGCGUGAUCUUGUCCAGACAGUCGUGUGUUGAGUCUGGAUCCAGUGAGAUUCGUGCUAACUUCCGAGAGGGAGAAGAUGGACGUGCCGAGGAGGAGAGCAGGGGAGUGUGCAGGGAGACAGAUGGAGAUGUACCAGUUAGCCUUGAAAAAUGUCUGCUUCAAUGUGACAGAUGAAUUGUUAUGUGUUUUAAUUUCAAAUGAGCAGCAUGACGUACAGCUGCUGUCUUCCAUGGUAGGACAACAGCGGUGGAGGUUUUUCAAACCCUGGCCGCUGCACCCAGACUUCCAUCGGCUGUGAGGAUGGUGAUUUUAUUAUGACAUCAUCUUUUCCUACAUUGUUCUACAACUAAUACUGUGGUGUGUAUCAAACGCAAGAAAAGUGUUUCCUUUCAUAUACAGUAUCCCCUUGCUGGCAGCAAAGUGACAGUUCUGAAGAAGGCCUUCCUGCGACUGAACCGAUCUCACAUGGCAAUUUUUGCCCUGUGUGUGUGUGUGUGUGUGUGUGUGUGUGUGUGUGUGUGUGUGUGUAGAGGAUGGGGGGGUUUGCUAUAUUUUAAAGGGAGAGUUCGGUUUUUUAUGUAUGUUUAUUAAUACAUAACCCCUUUCAGGUAUUGAUUUCAUUAAUAAUUGUUUUCUCUUCAAGUGUGAUGGUGUUUAUGUAAUUUUGAAUAGCUUUGAAAACAAUGCAGUCCACAUGAGGAAAUAUAGCCUUUAGUACACUGGCAAUAUGUUUUUUGUGUAAUGUAGUAUAGCAAAAUAAUAAAAAGUUUAUUCAUAAAUAACUACAAAGGGUACUUUUUAUUAAUUAGAAUAAGCUAAAAAUAUAAGUGAUGUACAAUAUUACUACAAUAAUAAUAUAUUAAUGGUAUAUUGUUUGUACAUUAAAA